UUUUAUUUGAGAGUUUGAUCCUGGCUCAGGAUGAACGCUGGCGGCGUGCCUAACACAUGCAAGUUGAGCGAUUUACUUCGGUAAAGAGCGGCGGACGGGUGAGUAACGCGUGGGUAACCUACCCUGUACACACGGAUAACAUACCGAAAGGUAUGCUAAUACGGGAUAAUAUAUUUGAGAGGCAUCUCUUAAAUAUCAAAGGUGAGCCAGUACAGGAUGGACCCGCGUCUGAUUAGCUAGUUGGUAAGGUAACGGCUUACCAAGGCGACGAUCAGUAGCCGACCUGAGAGGGUGAUCGGCCACAUUGGAACUGAGACACGGUCCAAACUCCUACGGGAGGCAGCAGU
rnacentral:rRNA from 1 species